rnacentral:lncRNA from 1 species
UCUCUCUCUCUUCUAGAGAGUUCUCAAAUGUUCCUCCUUCUCUCUAGAUUCUCUCUCUAAAUUUUCCAUGAUUUUUCGAUUUAAUCUCAACGUUUACAUGGUAUCAGAGCCUAGACGACGAUCCGAUUAUGUUUUUCUACAUCUCGUUGUUCUGGUUGAAGUCACUUUUGAGAUUUUUUGGGGGUGUUUCUGAGACCUUAUGGUCGAUGACGAUUCCGAUCUAAAUCGGAUGCUUUUCUGAGACUUUCUUCGUGAUAUCUGAGUAUAUCUUCUCCACUCGAACGUUCUGGGAGGUUUUCCGAUGAUUUUUGGGUGAUUUUUCGGUGACCUGUCGGCUUCUAGGGUUUCUGGUGGUUUAACCUAGCGUUUUACUGCUAUCCGGUGGCUCGAUUCUCACUCAGUGGAUGUUUUGGGUGCCUUUCCGAUAUCACUGACCACACUUCCAGUAAGGAUUUUGACGGUUACACCUAAGGUUUUGUACCUAGGGUUUUCUCUGUUAUUUGAAGGCCGAUCUUCUCCGGUCGCGAAGAAGGAGGGUAACUCUGUCCUUAUCUUGAGUAUUGUAUGCUUUGUGUUUGAUUAUCUGACUCCGUAUGUGAGUAUUUUGUUUUGUGUGUGAGUAUCUGGUUUGGUUAUACUCUGUUUGCUGAAAUUUUUUAAGUCGGUUCAUUGAUUAUGGCUUCUAAUACAAAUGCUGGUACCUCCUCCUCGGUAGACUCUUC